CCAAUCGAACCCGGAGAUAGCUGGUUCUCCUCGAAAUAGCUUUAGGGCUAGCCUCAUGGAUCAUUGGUGGGGGUAGAGCACUGAAUGUGCGCGGGGGCCACAAAGCCUACCAAACGCUAUCAAACUUCGAAUACCAUACAAUGCAGACCAUGGGAGUCAGUCCGCGAGAGAUAAGUUCCGCGGGCAAAAGGGGAACACCCCAGAUCAACCGCUAAGGUCCCCAAGUUCACGUUAAGUGGAGAAGGAUGUGGAAUUGCACAGACAACCAGGAUGUUGGCUCAGAAGCAGCCACACAUUUAAAGAGUGCGUAAUAGCUCACUGGUCGAGUGAUUGUGCGCCGAAGAUGUCCGGGGCUAAACGUGACACCGAAGCGAUGGGUGCAUCUGAAAGGAUGCGCGGUAGAGGAGCAAUGUGCAGAGGCAGAAGCCGUAUCGAGAGGCACGGUGGACACUGCACAAGAGAGAAUGCCGGUAUGAGUAGCGAGAGGCAUGCGAGAAACAUGCCCGUCGAAAGCCCAAGGUUUCCUGGGGAAGGUUCAUCCGCCCAGGGUAAGUCGGGGCCUAAGCCGAGGACGGAAGUCGUAGGCGAUGGACAGCAGGUGUAGAUUCCUGCACUACCGAUGGAAUGAAGCAGUGACACAGAAGGAUAACUCGAGCAGGGUGAUGGUCAACCCUGUGCAAGCAUUGAGGUUGGGUUGUAGUGAAGUACGCAAUCCUAUAAGCUGAGGUGUGAUGCGGACCGAAAUUUCAGUAGGGAAGCGAGUGAGUUCACGCUGGCGAGAAAAGCUGCUAGUACAUCCAAAGGUACCCGUACCGGAAACCGACGCAGGUGGGCGAGGAGAGAAUCCUGAGACGAACGGGAGAACCCUUGUUAAGGAACUCGGCAAAAUGACCCCGUAACUUCGGGAUAAGGGGUGCCUGCGAGAGCAGGCCGCAGAGAAUAGUCACAAGCGACUGUUUAGCAAAAACACAGGUAUCUGCGAAAGCGAGAGCUGACGUAUAGGUGCUGACACCUGCCCGGUGCUGGAAGGUUAAGGGAACAUGUUAGAGCAAUCGAAGCAUCGAACCGAAGCCCCAGUAAACGGCGGCCGUAACUAUAACGGUCCUAAGGUAGCGAAAUUCCUUGUCGGGUAAGUUCCGACCCGCACGAAUGGUGUAACGACUUGUGAGCUGUCUCAACAGGGGGCCCGGUGAAAUUGAAGUAUGGGUGAAGAUGCCCAUUACCCGCGACUGGACGGAAAGACCCCGUAGAGCUUUACUGCAGCCUGAUAUUGAGUUUCGGUAACUGAUGCACAGGAUAGGUGGGAGUCUGAGAGACAUGGGUUUCGGCUCAUGUGGAGACGGUGUUGGGAUACCACUCUUCGGUUACUGAAAUUCUAACAUAGCUCUGUGAAACCAGAGGAUGGACAGUGUCAGGUGGACAGUUUGACUGGGGCGGUCGCCUCCGAAAGAGUAACGGAGGCGCCCAAAGGUACCCUCAGAAUGGAUGGAAACCAUUCGAAGAGCGCAAAGGCAGAAGGGUGCCUGACUGCGAGAUUGACAAAUCGAGCAGAGACGAAAGUCGGGCUUAGUGAUCCGGCGGUAUUGAGUGGAAAAGCCGUCGCUUAACGGAUAAAAGCUACCUCGGGGAUAACAGGCUGAUCUCCCCCAAGAGUCCACAUCGACGGGGAGGUUUGGCACCUCGAUGUCGGCUCGUCGCAUCCUGGGGCUGAAGCAGGUCCCAAGGGUUUGGCUGUUCGCCAAUUAAAGCGGCACGCGAGCUGGGUUCAGAACGUCGUGAGACAGUUCGGUCCCUAUCCAUCGUGGGCGUAGGAGUCAUGAGAGGAGCUGUUCCUAGUACGAGAGGACCGGAAUGGACGCACCACUGGUGCAACUGUUGUCGUGCCAACGGCAUAGCAGGGAAGCGAAGUGCGGAUGGGAUAAACGCUGAAGGCAUCUAAGCGUGAAGCCCACCUCAAGAAUAAGACUCCACAAUAGACCCCUGGAGGACUACCAGGUAGAUAGGUCAUCGGUGGAAGCGCUGUAAGGCGUGUAGCUUGAUGAUACUAAUCGGUCGAAAGCUUCAUUUA
rnacentral:rRNA from 1 species